rnacentral:pre_miRNA from 1 species
UAUAUACUUCCUUCGUUCCGAAUUACUUGUUGCAGGUAUGGAUGUAUCUAGAUAUAUUUUAGUUCUAGAUACAUUCAUUUUUGCGACGAGUAAUUUGGAACGGAGGGAGUAGUAU